AUACAGAGGGUGCAAGCGUUGUUCGGAAUCACUGGGCGUAAAGCGCAUGUAGGUGGUAUAGUAAGUUGACUGUGAAAUCCCUAGGCUCAACCUAGGACGUGCAUUCAAAACUGCUAAACUAGAGUGUCGGAGGGGGUGGUGGAAUUCCUAGUGUAGAGGUGAAAUUCGUAGAUAUUAGGAGGAACACCCGUGGCGAAGGCGACCACCUGGACGACAACUGACACUGAGAUGCGAAAGCGUGGGUAGCAAACGGGAUUAGAAACCCCAGUAGUCC
rnacentral:rRNA from 1 species